rnacentral:rRNA from 1 species
UGGCCAGACUCCUACGGGAGGCAGCAGUGGGGAAUAUUGCACAAUGGGGGAAACCCUGAUGCAGCGACGCCGCGUGUGGGAAGACGGUCCUCGGAUUGUAAACCACUGGCUUUGGGGACGAUAAUGACGGUACCCAAGGAGGAAGCUCCGGCUAACUACGUGCCAGCAGCCGCGGUAAUACGUAGGGAGCGAGCGUUGUCCGGAAUUACUGGGUGUAAAGGGAGCGUAGGCGGGAUAUCAAGUUGAAUGUGAAAUCUACCGGCUCAACUGGUAGGCUGCGUUCAAAACUGAUAUUCUUGAGUGAAGUAGAGGUUGGCGGAAUUCCUAGUGUAGCGGUGAAAUGCGUAGAUAUUAGGAGGAACACCAGUGGCGAAGGCGGUCAACUGGGCUUUUACUGACGCUGAGGCUCGAAAGCGUGGGGAGCAAACAGGAUUAGAUACCCGUGUA